UCUCUCUCGCCAUUUUCUCUCUCCUCAAGAAACGACCAUUGAAGCUCUAAGAAAACGACGAUCAAGCUCCAAAAACGCCGAUUACUUACUGAUUUAAGUUGUUGAUGAACAAAACUGAAAAUUCAAAAAAUCAACAUGAAAAAUAAAUACGAACAAAGAAGGGAAAAUUCAAAGGACGUAAAUGAGAUUAAACAUGCCAAAAAAUCAGAGCUAAAUCGAGCGCAUUUAUAGUAAAAUUGUCGAAGAAGCAAUCUGAAGGACAUCCUUGAAAACGUCGGGUUAUUUGUUUUGCAUAGGAGGGCUGUUGCGGGUAAGUCUUGGGUGGUAUGAUUCAUGUUAUUGACUAUCGGGCAGUUGUUUGGCUGCUGCAAGAACAGUGGCACUGAGGAUCUCAAUCCUCUGGAUUAGCCACUCACUAGUAUUUUUGUCGUUGGUUAUUGAUACGGAGUGUACUCUUUCCAUCUUAUAUUUGUGAUCGGUUUUUUAAUCUCAUUAUUAGAUUUAUUAUUGACAAUAUGUAGCAUUAGUUUCGCCCUCCAAAGAGUUUUCACCAAAGAGGGAGUUUUCUCUGAUUUGAUUUUUACUUAAUACUAGCAUUUGUGACGUUUAACUGCGUUUGUAUGGAAAAUGUUGGUAUUUAUUAUAUAAAAUAUAUAGUUUUGA